rnacentral:rRNA from 1 species
CAGAGGGUGCGAGCGUUGUCCGGAAUCACUGGGCGUAAAGGGCGCGUAGGUGGCUUGCUAAGCGUGUGGUGAAAGCCUGGGGCUCAACCCCAGGUCUGCCGUGCGAACUGGCAAGCUUGAGCAUAGUAGAGGCAGGUGGAAUUUCGGGUGUAGCGGUGGAAUGCGUAGAUAUCCGAAAGAACACCGGUGGCGAAGGCGGCCUGCUGGGCUAUUGCUGACACUGAGGCGCGACAGCGUGGGGAGCAAACAGGAUUAGAUACCCUGGUAGUCCACGCCGUAAACGAUGGGUACUAGGCGUCUGGGGGAGCGACCCCCUGGGUGCCGGCGCUAACGCAUGAAGUACCCCGCCUGGGGAGUACGGCCGCAAGGCUG